GGGGAAUUAGCUCAAAUGGUAGAGCGCUCGCUUAGCAUCGCGAGGGUAGUGGGAUCGAUGCCCACAUUCUCCA
rnacentral:tRNA from 1 species